rnacentral:rRNA from 1 species
GGAAUUUUCCGCAAUGGGCGAAAGCCUGACGGAGCAAUGCCGCGUGGAGGAUGAAGGCCUGUGGGUUGUAAUCUCCUUUUCUCAGAGAAGAAGUUCUGACGGUAUCUGAGGAAUAAGCAUCGGCUAACUCCGUGCCAGCAGCCGCGGUAAUACAGAGGAUGCAAGCGUUAUCCGGAAUCACUGGGCAUAAAGCGUCUGUAGGUGGUUUGGUAAGUCUGCUGUUAAAGACUGGGGCUCAACCCCAGAAAAGCAGUGGAAACUGCUAGACUUGAGUGUGGUAGAGGUAGAGGGAAUUCCUAGUGUAGCGGUGAAAUACGUAGAUAUUAGGAAGAACACCAAUGGCGAAGGCACUCUACUGGGCCAUAACUGACACUGAGAGACGACAGCUAGGGGAGCAAAUGGGAUUAGAUACCCCUGUAGUC